rnacentral:lncRNA from 1 species
UAUAUGUGGUUGACAUAUUGUGGAUCAGAAGUAAUGUAGAAUUUCUGUAAAUCAUACAAGGUUGUUUGAAAGGAGUUUUCAAAGGAGUACAUAGAUUGCGCUACUUGAACGUUGAGCAUCAAAGAUCUAUGGAGAUAGAUCGAAAGCGCUUAAUGGAAGUUUCAACAAGAUGCAUGCCUUAACAAGUUUUUGAAGGAGUUCAAAAUAGAUCAGCAAAGAAGGAGUUCUUGGUUGCGUUGUGAGGUUUGAAUUUGAGUAAGACUAAAAACCCGACCCCGGCAGAAUAAAUAGAAUAGACGAAGGUUGUCUUCUAUGCCUUGGCCGUAGAAUCUGAAGUAUGCCAUGUUGGGUACCACACCUGAUGUGUGCCUUGACUCAAAGUCUGUUGAGAGGUACAGAGAGUGAUCCAUGAUUGAGUCACUAGCAGCGGUCAAAAUUUAUCCGUAGUAACUGAUGGACUAAGGAAUUUUUCUCGAUUAUGGAGGUGGUUAAAGAGUUCGUCGUAAAGGGUUACGUCAAUGCAAGCUUUGACCCUAAUCCGAAUAACUAUGAGUAGUGAAACGGAUUCCUAUAGUAGAGUAGAUAUUUGGAAUAUUUCCGAAUAGCACAUAGUAGCAGCAUCUAUAAGAUGACAUAAAGAUUUUUAAAGAACACACGGAUCUAAAAGUUUCAGAACCGUUGACUAAAACCUCUCUCACGAGCAAGACGUGGUCAGACCCCAUAACUAUAUGGGUGUUGGAUUCGUUGGAAUGACAUGGUGAUGUGAACGAGAUUAUUGACUCUAGUGCAAGUGGGAUACUAUUGGAAAUAUGCCCUAGAGGCAAUAAUAAAUUAGUUAUUAUUAUAUUUCUUUGUUCAUGAUAAUCGUUUAUUAUCCAUGCUAUAAUUGUAUUGAUUGGAAACACAGUGCUUGUGUGGAUACAUAGACAAAACACUGUCCCUAGUAAGCCUCUAGUUGACUAGCUCGUUGAUCAAAGAUGGUCAAGGUUUCCUGACCAUAGGCAAGUGUUGUCAAUUAAUAACGGGAUCACAUCAUUAGGAGAAUCAUGUGAUGGACUAGACCAAACUAAUAGACGUAGCAUGUUGAUCGUGUCAUUUUGUUGCUACUGUUUUCUGC